AUUGAACGCUGGCGGCAGGCCUAACACAUGCAAGUCGAGCGGAGCGGCGGACGGGUGAGUAAUGCCUAGGAAUCUGCCUGGUAGUGGGGGCUAACGUCCGGAAACGGGCGCUAAUACCGCAUACUAUCAGAUGAGCCUAGGUGGGAUUAGCUAGUUUGUGGGGUAAAGGCCUACCAAGUCGACGAUCCGUAACUGGUCUGAGAGGAGGAUCAGUCAGACUGGAACUGAGACACGGGCCAGCCUCCUACGGGAGGCAGCAGUGGGGAAUAUUGCACAAUGGGCGCAAGCCGGAUGCAGCCAUGCCGCGUGUGGGAAGAAGGCCUUCGGGUUGUAAAGCACUUUCAGCGGGGAGGCGUUACCCGCAGAAGAAGCACCGGCUAACUCCGUGCCAGCAGCCGCGGUAAUUC
rnacentral:rRNA from 1 species